CUUGUCCUCACGGUGAGACAGUGCCACCUCCCGCCUCUGCAGGAGACCCUCUAACACCAGCAGAUUCACAUUUACAAGGAGCGCAGAUGGCCUGUGGGUCAGAUUGACUGAUCAGAAGAUCAUUGCCAAGCCAAUGUGAAAGAUACCGAUGGUCUGAGGAAAAUAGACACAGUAGAGACAAGGCGAACAUUUGCUGGGCACCAGCGAUGCCGUCACUGCCCAUGUUUGGCGUUGAGGCAAGCACACGUCAGGAGUCUGAGCAGAUGACAAGACCAGAAGCCCUGUGGGAAGGGUAGGAAGAUUAUUGCCCAGUCCUCAGAGCAAAGGGAAGAGCAGUGAAGGCACGUGGACCCUGAAGCUUCUUCACUUUCUGCAGAUACAACAACCGACAGCACAGUGGAGUUUGUGAAGAGGGACACCAUCGCAGUCAGC